AUUUUGUGUUUACAAUAUCGAGUAAUAUAAUAAAGUCCACUCCCAGGGUCUCACUUCAACACAGAUCCCUCUCUUUUCUUCGGCUCUUCGUGAAUCUUAAGCUUCCCCUUUCGCCACCAACGGGAAUUUCAGAAUUGCAGCUAGGAACUCAAGUAGCAGAUAGCUCGACGUUUAUAAACAUGAGUUUAGCAUGUCUCGUCUGCAACAGUGUCGAUAGCCCUUCACACUCCCUUAGGAGCUACUCGGUUUCGAGUUCAGACAACGAGGGAAGAUGCUCUGCAAUAGCCAACUGCCUAAUAUGGAGACCAUCUUUUCCCCCAACACACCACCACCACCACCCAUCAUAUGUAGCAUCAGCCAAGGUAACUCCCCAACCAACCAUUUCCAACAGCAACGUAAUGGACGGUACACCCAGGUUGGUUCGAAGCCGAGCCGUAAGAAGGGACCUAGUACAAGACUGGAAUUUCGACGAGGUGGUCGUAGUUCAGCAUUAGCGCGUUUUACGUUCGAGUAGACGAGAGUAGAAUUUUCAAAUGGGCAUGGCGAUGAUCUGAAACGAUUGAGGUAGCGUCUCGCUUCCUAUGCAUUUUUGUUUUGUUUGUAAGCAUGAGAAAAUGGGACUUAGAACCUUGUUUAUAUAUGUUAGCUACAGAUUAGUGGUUCAUAGGAGGCAGGCAGGGAAGAAGGGAUGGGUUUAGGUAAGUUUUGUAAGGUUGGAUGGGAUUAUGCUUUCAAAAUCUUCCAUGAUAUACACCAAGUUUAUGUAUGUAUAAACAAAUAAGCAUUGUUAAAGAACUUUUUGUAGAAAAGUUCACAUCUCAAUCUUCCAAAACCUUGAAAACUCCUUUGAGUUUGGAGAAAACAAAUAAGCUCUAUGAAUUGUCGUGCUUUUAGGUA